rnacentral:rRNA from 1 species
CCUACGGGCGACUGCAGUGGGGAAUAUUGGACAAUGGGGGGAACCCUGAUCCAGCCAUGCCGCGUGUGUGAAGAAGGCCCUCGGGUUGUAAAGCACUUUCAGUGAGGAAGAACGCCUGGUGGUUAAUACCCAUCAGGAAAGACAUCACUCACAGAAGAAGCACCGGCUAACUCCGUGCCAGCAGCCGCGGUAAUACGGAGGGUGCGAGCGUUAAUCGGAAUUACUGGGCGUAAAGCGCGCGUAGGUGGCUUGAUAAGCCGGUUGUGAAAGCCCCGGGCUCAACCUGGGAACGGCAUCCGGAACUGUCAAGCUAGAGUGCAGGAGAGGAAGGUAGAAUUCCCGGUGUAGCGGUGAAAUGCGUAGAGAUCGGGAGGAAUACCAGUGGCGAAGGCGGCCUUCUGGACUGACACUGACACUGAGGUGCGAAAGCGUGGGUAGCAAACAGGAUUAGAUACCCGAGUAGUC